rnacentral:rRNA from 1 species
AUUGAACGCUGGCGGAAUGCUUUACACAUGCAAGUCGAACGGCAGCACGGGGGCAGCCCUGGUGGCGAGUGGCGAACGGGUGAGUAAUACAUCGGAACGUGCCCGGUCGUGGGGGAUAACGUAGCGAAAGUUACGCUAAUACCGCAUACGAUCUGAGGAUGAAAGCGGGGGACCUUCGGGCCUCGCGCGAUCGGAGCGGCCGAUGUCAGAUUAGGUAGUUGGUGGGGUAAAGGCCUACCAAGCCGACGAUCUGUAGCCGGUCUGAGAGGACGACCAGCCACACUGGGACUGAGACACGGCCCAGACUCCUACGGGAGGCAGCAGUGGGGAAUUUUGGACAAUGGGCGCAAGCCUGAUCCAGCCAUUCCGCGUGCAGGACGAAGGCCUUCGGGUUGUAAACUGCUUUUGUACGGAACGAAAAGGCUCUGGCUAAUACCUGGGGCUCAUGACGGUACCGUAAGAAUAAGCACCGGCUAACUACGUG